UACGUAGGGUGCGAGCGUUGUCCGGAAUUAUUGGGCGUAAAGGGCUCGUAGGCGGUCUGUCGCGUCGGGAGUGGAAACUCAGGGCUUAACCCUGAGCCUGCUUCCGAUACGGGCAGACUAGAGGUAUGCAGGGGAGAACGGAAUUCCUGGUGUAGCGGUGGAAUGCGCAGAUAUCAGGAGGAACACCUGUGGCGAAAGCGGCGCACUGGACCAUAACUGACGCUGAUGCGCGAAAGCUAGGGGAGCAAACAGG
rnacentral:rRNA from 1 species